UCUGUGCUUUUAGUCCGCCAGCGCCAGACUCGUUGGACUGAUUGCUGGCGAUCGGCACUGAUGCAGAGUUUAUGAGGCAGUCCCGUAUUCCCAUGUUUCACUGCUGCAUUCACAUCGUCUUCCCUUUGUCCUCCGUUCUCCGCCCGGUGUAAGAGGCAGCAGGAGAGCUCCACCCAUAAACCCUGGUCUCCCGUCAAAGGCGUGCGAGGAGUGGUGAUUUCAGAGAACUGCGGACCACACACCGGCAGCGGCGGCGGCGGCAGCUCCCGCCGGAGGAGGUCUGCGCCUGGGAGAGCGCUCAGAACCACAUUCACUGAGGAGGCUGAGGAGGCAGGAAGUGGCUCCAGACUGAGGAGGAAGACAUGUGGCAGCGAGCCGCGUUUCCUGAGGACAGCAGAGCCGAGCAAGAAAGCGAUUCACACGUCCUUCAUCCAGAGCCGUGCUGCAUCCAGCAGUGCAGUGAAGUCCACUUCCUACCAGUUUCUUUGCCCGGGCCGCAAGUCACCCGUCCAUGCCCUCCUCACCUCUGACCCCACCAGCUGACAGGACCACCGCGCGUCCCCAGGCCGGCUCCUGGAUCCACGUUGUUUACAGUUUCAAAAGAAAUAUAGACAGUAAUGCACUUUUUGAUCAUAUCACUAUAAAUGGAAUAGAUUCUGUUCCUUUACUCAUCUGGUUUAUUUAAGGAAAACACUUUCAGAACUUUGUGACUGAGAAUUACCCAAAACUGAUCAAGAACAAAUGAAGUAAACAUUUUAUUGAACCGUUUGAUACUUUUAGAUGUUUUAGUAAUUGUAAAAAUACUCUUGUGGUCAAUUAACAGUUUCACUUUUUCUGCCUGCAGCAAAAUAAAAAGAUAUGAAGAAAAUCAGGUGUAUUUUAAUAAUUUAUUGU
rnacentral:lncRNA from 1 species